CCCUUAGAUGUCCGGGGCCGCACGCGCGCUACACUGAAUAGCGUAACGAGUUUCUCUCCUGAUCCGCAAGGGUUGGGCAACCUGUUGAAACCUAUUCGUGACAGGGAUCGGGGCUUGUAAUUAUUCCCCGUGAACGAGGAAUUCCUAGUAAGCGCAAGUCAUAAACUUGCGUUGAUUACGUCCCUGCCUUUUGUACACACCGCCCGUCGCUACUACCGAUUGAGUGGUCCGGUGAGGCUUUGGGAUCUGAGCGGAAAGAGCGUUUCGCUGUUUCUGCCCGGAAAACUCAGUCGAACCUUAUCAUUUAGAGGAAGGAGAAGUCGUAACA
rnacentral:rRNA from 1 species